UACGAAGGGUGCAAGCGUUACUCGGAAUUACUGGGCGUAAAGCGUGCGUAGGCGGUUUGUUAAGUCUGUCGUGAAAGCCCCGGGCUCAACCUGGGAAUGGCGAUGGAUACUGGCGAGCUAGAGUACGGUAGAGGAGAGUGGAAUUCCCGGUGUAGCGGUGAAAUGCGUAGAUAUCGGGAGGAACAUCAGUGGCGAAGGCGACCGCCUGGCCCAACACUGACGCUGAGGUGCGAAAGCGUGGGUAGCAAACAGG
rnacentral:rRNA from 1 species